rnacentral:rRNA from 1 species
GUCCUAGCCCUAAACGGUGCACGUUUGCUGUAAGAGGAAUCGACCCCUUUUGUGGCGAAGCUAACGCGUUAAACGUGCCGCCUGGGAAGUACGGCCGCAAGGUUAAAACUCAAAGAAAUUGACGGGGGCCUGCACAAGCGGUGGAGUAUGUGGCUUAAUUCGAUGCAACGCGAAGAACCUUACCUGGCCUUGACAUGCAAGUAGUAGAACCGUGAAAGCGGGACGAGGUAGCAAUACCAGCUUGCACAGGUGCUGCAUGGCUGUCGU